AUCGAUCGAUACGUUUGCUUUAUCGAACCCCUCUGUUUCUCGUCCAACGAAUAACACAGAAAAUGGGCGAUGGCUUGUUCGGUGAUUACUAUCGGCGAGGACAGAAAGGGGGGAAAAAAAGGAAAAUGGAAGGAAAAUUAUAAAACGUUUGUUAUUUUUCCGUGAUAAUUUAUUUGCAAUUAUAUUUGUAUACAAAUAUUAUACAUUUUUCUACGGUUGUUUCUUUUUAAUUCUUUUGAAAUCCACGGUUUGUAAUGAUAAAUUAACAAUUUGAGAAUUGUUUACUCGUUGAGGGCCGAACGUUCGCUUCAUCUACUGCUUUUCCUUUUUUUCUUUUUUUUUUUUUAAGUCAAACUGGGUGGCUUAUUUCCUCGGCGAUUCCCUCGCAUUUAUGGCGAUUUAUCGGCAACAAAUUUCUGGGCAUCGUUCACCCUCGCCGUUUUCUUGAAACUAUGACGUGGAGAGGCGCAAACGACCGAGAUUUGUCCACGGCCGGGUGCGCGAAACAAAUUGCCCGAUAAUCAGCAGUCGCAAAUUGUGUUCUAUAAGCUUAACUUGCUCAAUCUCUUUUCCUCCGUGAAAAAGUUAAUCGGCCAGGAAUCGUUAAGGCAAGCUGAAAAACCUGUUAAAACUUUUUCCAAAAACUUCCUGUCUCCACCCUUUCCCUUAGAUACUGGCCACCCCAUUCAACCCUUCACGCGAUACAAUUUCCAAGUACAAUACGAUAUUUCUACGCGAUAAUUUAUCCAUAAAUUAAGAUAAAUUCGACGCGAUAGUAUUUUUAUUCAAGUUUCAACUCGAGCCACCUCCCAAUUUCAAAAGCAAACUUUUUUAAUCCCUUCCUCCUCCUCCUCCUUCGUUCAAAAUUAAACACGUGAGAUAUAUAAAAGAAAAAGGGAAAAACAUAACGAAAUUAUUGUUGUAAAUAUUUCAAUAACGCUUGCACACGUGUCUUUAUCACCAUUAUGUUAACUCGUUCGCAUUAAAUAUAAUCUCUCUCUCUCUACGAGUAAAAAAGGGCGAAGGGGAGGGGUUGCCAACAGUUUUUCCAGCAUCGAAUUAUCCGUCAGCCGAGUUCUCAUUAAGCCCUUUACCGGAAGAAGAGAGAGUGCAACGGGCACUCAACGUGGCUGGUGCAGCGUGGAUUGGAUUUUAUGAAGAUUUAUCGGUAUCCGGCAACGUCGCGGCAACGAAAGCUUCAAGACAGAAAACAGCGCGAGCCGAGGAAAAAGAUACUGACUCGUCGUCGAGAGGAGAAGUUGGCGCGGCGUGGAUGACAGUUUUGCGGAUGCUGGACGAAAAGGAGAAACUUUGAAACAUCCGUUUGCCGGAUGACAAGUUGGAUCGAUGGCCAUGGUCGAGAAUCUGGAUCACGUUGGGUUAAACGUGAAUCGAACCAGGACCGCCCAAGAAGGAUGUGUUGGAUGUCGUUUUAAACUCGAGCCAGUUUCCGUGGAGAUGGGAUCUAUACACACACGUAUACACACACACACACAUACGGUAGGGGGAGAGGAUGGGUCUAUCUAUUCUACAUUGUUAGGUUUAGAUUAAGUAUUAGGUAAAUUCAGGCGUGAUUCGUGUUUGGGAUGGGCUUUGAUACUGAAAUUUAGAACUGGGUUUAAACAUAAUUGAAUUCUAGAUCGGUGUAAAUUGCAAGAGGAUAUAUCCAGAUUUUUCGUUAAUUUUCAGUAAUGAUUAAAUAAUUUUCGAUCGCAAAAAUCUUCUUUAGAAUUAAAAUAUUUUCCUAAAAACUUGCGACGGUAAAAAUUUCAGUUUUAAUAUCAAUUGGAGCAGCGCUUCGUUUAAAAAUUUUGAAAAGAAACUUUUCUCUCGUACGAAGUCAGAAUAAUAUUCAAGGUGUUCUGGUGUAUCUUUUUAAAGGCAUAUAAUAAAAAAAGAAAAAAAGAAGCCAGGUGCCACGUAGCGACCCUAUCGUUUCUUCGAGGUAAAUGUACGCGGCUCGCCUCCUUCCUUCCUUCCUGCUCUUUCUUCCGUUCUUGAAAGGAACGAAAACAGAGUUUAAAGGGGGAUCGUGGCACGAGUCGCUCUUAGGAAGAGCUUACGCGACUUCGAUGUAAACUGGCGUUUCGAACGGCGGCUUAAGUCGAGGAUCGACUCGGCCGAGCCCUUAUUUUAAACACAGAGUGGCUUUGCGGGGGUUGAAUACAAUGGCUCGGCGAGCCGGCCUCGUGAAUCGGAAUUUAUGAAGAUUUAUCGAUAAACGCAGCCGAGGAAUCUAAAGCGCGUGAGAGUGGAAACCCGAAAGCGGAGUGCGUACAUCCUCGCCGAAAAUUGGUAAACUUUUAAGCCGAAUUUUUCACCAAAUUUCCUCCACCGAAGUACGACUCUUUUAAAUUAACGCGCCGUAAUUUGAUCGUCCAAUCACGAGAGUUCGAGAGUUCGUGGAAAGAAAUUAUGGGUUAAUAUUUCUUUCGAGAGGUUGGUGCAACCCCUAUAUAAGGACUGUCCCCCAUUCGCUUAAAUUACCCGGAGACACGAUCUUGUUUUGAUCGCUGCGUCAUCAAUUUAAUUCUCGACAGCAGUCGCGUACACCCUUAACCACUUAUUAAGAACACAGGAUCCGCUUAAUGUCAUAUUUCGUGGCAGAUGACACUUAAUGUCGAAUAAAGCAGGCAUACGUCCCCCCAUUAUAAAUUAGAAGGUAGAAAUUUAACCAAACUUCUCCAGCUUCGUGAAUGGAAAGAUAACGAUAUCUAACAUGAUUUAUCUCAAUAAUCUCUUUUCCCAACGUUCAAAUAAUUGUCCCAUCCCUCGUCGUUAUCCGUGAUACCUACCCUCGCAGAAUAUGAUCACGUAAUUAUUUUAAAAUGAAUCAAUUUCAGAAAUUAUCGAAGAUAAUAAGAUAUCGUGCGAAAGAUGCUUCGCUAUCGUUGAGAAUCAUCGUGGGUUUUGAAAAUUUCCACAAAAAAAAAAUCAUUCCCUCGCCAUAGAAGCCGCAAGAGAUAAAACUGUUGGACAAUCGAAUCGAGCAGAUAAUUAAGAAUUAAGAAUUGGAGGGCGUCGGUGGCCGCGCGAAUUUCGCAAACACCGGCCAAUUAAUUAGCAGCCACUGAAUUAAGCCAAUUGAUCGAGGGUCUGGCGGCGAGAGUGGCCGGUUCCGUGAAUUGAAAUUGAUUAGGAGGGGCGUUUCUUCUUUUCGUCUUCGUAGAGAUCCCUCUUCGUGAUUCUUUCGGGCAAGAAGAGGUUCGUUACGUUAUGACGGGCGAGCGACGAAGGAACUCCAUUAGAUCCGGAAAAACUGGAGCUCACGGACAGGUUGGCUCCAGUUGUUCGAGUGACUUCGAGGCACUCGGACGUGUUGCCCCGGCAACAUCGAUAUCGGAGUUGUCGGUUUGUUUUUUGCGGAAAUGUAAGGAACAUUGUUGUGUACUUGGAUCCCCUUGCAAGUUUUUCGGCAACGAUGGCCGAGGUAAAGGGAUUGUGCGGUCACGUUACACUGCAAAUACUUGUAUGUAAUACACGACAAAUAUAUGGAUUAUGACCGAUUAUCAGUUUCUGAAUAAAUGGCAACUUGGAAACGUAAAAAGUGAAUAUAAAACGAGUAAUAAAUAUUCUCUUUAUAGUUUCUGGAUUAAUGGCAAUUUGAAAGUAUACUUAAACAUAAAAGUAUAAGGACGUCAUGAUACACCCAUUGGUUUAUUAAAAAGUAUAUGAUGCUAUUUAAAACAAUAAAAUUUGAUUAAGUUUUUUACAUCCAUCUACGAAAAAGUUGAGGACAGCAGAAUACAGCCCUUUCGAAACCAAUCAACUUUUAUCCGAAGCAUUUUUUAACAUUAUGAAGACUAGUAUUAUAAGUACAUACAAGUGCAAAUAUAAAUUAAUUGUUAAUUAAAAAAUAUGUAUUAUUAAUUGUAAAUUAUAUUUAAUAAACGUUAUUUUUCAAUAAAUAAAUAAA